CCUACGGGGGGCUGCAGUGGGGAAUAUUGGACAAUGGGGGCAACCCUGAUCCAGCCAUGCCGCGUGUGUGAAGAAGGCCCUCGGGUUGUAAAGCACUUUCAGUGAGGAAGAACGCCUGGUGGUUAAUACCCAUCAGGAAAGACAUCACUCACAGAAGAAGUACCGGCUAACUCCGUGCCAGCAGCCGCGGUAAUACGGAGGGUGCGAGCGUUAAUCGGAAUUACUGGGCGUAAAGCGCGCGUAGGUGGCUUGAUAAGCCGGUUGUGAAAGCCCCGGGCUCAACCUGGGAACGGCAUCCGGAACUGUCAAGCUAGAGUGCAGGAGAGGAAGGUAGAAUUCCCGGUGUAGCGGUGAAAUGCGUAGAGAUCGGGAGGAAUACCAGUGGCGAAGGCGGCCUUCUGGACUGACACUGACACUGAGGUGCGAAAGCGUGGGUAGCAAACAGGAUUAGAUACCCGAGUAGUC
rnacentral:rRNA from 1 species